CCUUUGACAUGUACGGAAUCCUUUAGAGAUAGAGGAGUGCUCGAAAGAGAGCCGUAACACAGGUGCUGCAUGGCUGUCGUCAGCUCGUGUCGUGAGAUGUUGGGUUAAGUCCCGCAACGAGCGCAACCCUUGUCAUUAGUUGCUACAUUCAGUUGGGCACUCUAAUGAGACUGCCGGUGACAAACCGGAGGAAGGUGGGGAUGACGUCAAGUCCUCAUGGCCCUUAUAGGUGGGGCUACACACGUCAUACAAUGGAUGGUACAAAGGGUCGCCAACCCGCGAGGGGGAGCCAAUCCCAUAAAGCCAUUCGUAGUCCGGAUCGCAGUCUGCAACUCGACUGCGUGAAGUCGGAAUCGCUAGUAAUCGUGGAUCAGAAUGUCACGGUGAAUACGUUCCCGGGUCUU
rnacentral:rRNA from 1 species